rnacentral:lncRNA from 1 species
GAACAUGAGGAACUGUGUUAAGGAGUCACAGCAUUAGGAAUGGUGAGAACCACUUGUCUAAAGCCAGCCAGUGCCCCUGAUGCUUCGGUCUUCUCUAACAUCUGGCUUGCUCUUGGAGCCUUUAGGACAAGAUGAAGGAAGUAGGGGAAAGCAAAGAAAAAAAGGAGGGACACUUUAAGCUAUUAAUAACAGCAGGAAGGUCAAAGGAAGCAGUAUCAAAGCCACCAGAAGGCCACCAUGUGCUUCAUCCUGCUCACCUCCAACUCCUGUGCAUGAAAGAAACCGGAUGAAGGAAUGAUGCAGUGCUAAAGGUUUACAGGCUAAACAGGGAUGGGAUGCUAUUUAUUACAUGAGUAAUAA